rnacentral:tRNA from 1 species
GCCUGGCUGGCUCAGUUGGUUGAGUGUCUGACUUCGGCUCAGGUCACGAUCUCACAGUUUGUGGGUUCGAGCCCCGCAUCGGGCU